UACGUAGGGGGCAAGCGUUAUCCGGAUUUACUGGGUGUAAAGGGAGCGUAGACGGUGAUGCAAGUCAGAAGUGAAAGCCCGGGGCUCAACUCCGGGACUGCUUUUGAAACUGCCAGGCUAGAGUGUCGGAGAGGUAAGUGGAAUUCCUAGUGUAGCGGUGAAAUGCGUAGAUAUUAGGAGGAACACCAGUGGCGAAGGCGGCUUACUGGACUGUAACUGACGCUGAGGCAUGAGAGCAUGGGGAGCAAACAGG
rnacentral:rRNA from 1 species